ACACACUCCUUUCCCAGCCCAGGGGCACGCGAACAAAAUGAGGCUCAAGCUGACCAGGCCGAGCCGGAGGAACGCUGGGGCUUGGCAGCAGAAGGGAUGGGACCAGAGAGAAGGGUGUGGAGGAGACCCCAGUGAGGGCCAGGACAUUUCAGGUAAAGAGAGGUCAUAUCUCCGUACCUCACUUCCUGACACAAACAAGUUUUCACUGUUGUCAGCAACAAAGCCCUAAUAUAGCUGCGGAAGAGAAAAACUGCAUUGCAUUUUGCCUCCUGCAAGCAUCAUCAACAGUUACUGGAGGAACGUAAUUCCAGAAAGCUUGAAAGCCGUGGUGAUGGUAAUUAUGUAUCAAAUGCCUGGUUCUAUUUCUGUUAUUAUUGUUUUGUCAUUUCUGUUUUCCCAGCGAUCUGACUGAACUCGCAGAGGGACAAAUCCAGUUUUUCUUUUUGACUUUUGUCAAACUAAAUCAGGCCUGAUAGAAAACUCAUUGCUCUCCGGGGAAACAAAGUAGGAGCCACGAAAUGUCAUUUUAACAGAGCGUGGGUUUGGUGACUGUAGGAAAGGAUUUGAGGACGCUCCUUCUGUUCGGCUUCCUAUGUCAUGAGCACAGGCUCCACGCACGCACAGACACCACGGCUCCCGGAUGCUGUGGCUCCCCGAUCGGGGCUCCUGCAGCGCCAGAAGCCCCUCCGGGAUGCUUCGAGGGGCUCCCGGUGGGUGGAGGUACGGACGCCGCUGCGGCCGCCGCCGCCAGUCCUGCUGCUGUUGUUGCUGCUGCAGUCACGUGGGAGCCCCUUUAAGUUUCCAUAGAGAGGCCUCUCUGGUGUCACAUGAUGGACAUGAUAUAAUGAAACAACAUUGUGGAGAGGAAAGCAUUAGGGGAGCCCACGGCUACAAAAACAAGUGAGUGAGAAGAGGUGGGAGGAAGAGAAACUACGCCACCUCCCCUGCAGCCGAGUGCACGCAGCAGCCUGGCGUGACAAGUGGGCGACGCCGGGGGGCAGGGAGCCGGGGUCCUUGGCCCUGGCCGGGGACCCCACCGCCCACCGCGCGGAGGACAACUUUUAGCCGGCAGCCCAGACCAGCGCGGCACCUGUCUCCGGAGUCUCCACCGCUCCUCCCGAUUCAUCCCAGGGAAAUUCUCAAGAAUACGCUCUACAAAUCUACGUGCGCAUCAUUUUCACCUCGCGUCGCGCCCGGGAGGAAGGAACGAGGCAAGGAGCUAAAGCAGCGUGCGUUCAGCCCUGGGGCAUUUUAUUAAUGCUUUUACGAGUUAGAAGAGUUGGGAUAAUUUGCCAUCUGGAGUUUCUCUGCCUUGCUGAUCUGAGCUCAGACCUGCCAAUUUACCAGAGAUAAUUGAUAACACCCUGUAACAGCUGAGAGGAAAAUGGAAGAAACGGAGAUACUUUUAGUGAAGCAGAAUAAACCACUGAACAGGAAAAAUGAGGAAGCUGUGAGUACCAGUGGAAGGAACGAGCCAGGAAGAGGGACUGGAACCAUCUCAGAAGCCAUGCCCCUCAGGCUGGAACUUGCCCUGUCUCCUCGCAGAUGAGGACAAGUCCUGCGCUUGGGGAUCCUCUGUACGCCCGUUCACUGGUGCAGGUCUUCUGAACAAAUGCCUCCUGAGGAUUUCUGUGCCUGGAAAAUAUCUGUUAACAGACUGCUUUUACACCUACGUAAGUAGAGGCUUCUGCUUAUAAGUCAACCUCAAGGGAGUUUUAUUUUGUCCCUGGAUGAUUCCUCAGUACAUUUUUCUUUUUCUUUUUUGAGGUAGGGUUUUGCUCUGUUGCCCAGGCUGGAGUACAGUGGUGUGAUCACAACUCACUGCGGCCUCAACCUCCCAGGCUCAAGCGAUCCUCCCACCUCAGCCUCCCAAGUAGCUGGGACCACAGGCGUGUACCACCCACGCCUGGCUAGUUUUUUAAAAUUUCUUUUGUAGAGGCAGAGUCUCCCUGUGUUGCCCUGGUUUCAAACUUGGGCCAAGUGAUUCUCUGCCCCAGCCUCUCAAAGUGCUGGGAUUACAGGUGUGAGCCACCGUGCCUGACAAGCCUGAUAUGUUUUUUUAAAUGAUCAUUAGUAUUUGAUCUCUACUCUUUUUCUCUCAACCACCCAACUCCCGGUUUACGGUCAGGAAGAAUCUAUAACAUGAACUCCUGCUUAAAAACAAGGGUAUAGAUCCCAUAUUCAGGUCUUAGACUGGGAAGAAGAGAAGGCAGUCAAAAAUAUUAAAUAUAUGAAUUUCAGUAAAUUCAGUUGGGGAUGCCAUUUCAGCUUUGCAGUCAGUUACUCCAGAAUAUGUCAAUGUAUGGCAAAGCAUGUGACAGCAGGAUCUCUGCACCCUCUCCAUUUACCAGCUGUGGUGGAUCUCUUAGCCACAUCUCUGUUUAUAAUGUGCUUAUUGAAAACUAAUGUAUUACUUUUAUUAUCAUAGCUACCAUUUACUGAAUAUUUACAUUGUGCUAACACUGGUUCAGAUGGCUUCAUCAUAUUUACCUGAUUUAAUCCUCACAACAACCUUAUGUGCUAGGUCCAGUUAUUACCAUCUUUUUUUUUUUUUGAGACGGAGUCUCACUCUGUCGCCAGGCUGGAGUGCAGUGGCGCGAUUUCGUCUCACUGCUGCAACCUCCGCCUCCCAGGUUCAAGUGAUUCUCCUGCCUCAGCCUCCCAGGUAGCUGGGACUACAGGCACAUGCCACCACGCCCAGCUAAUUUUUGUAUUUUUAUAGAGACGAGACUUCACCAUGUUGGCCAGGAUGAUCUCAAUCUCUUGACCUCGUGAUCCGCCCAUCACAGCCUCCAAAAGUGCUGGGAUUACAGGCGUGAGCCACCGCACCCGGCCUAUUACCCUCAUUUUACAGAUGAGGAGACUGAGGCACAGAGAGUUAAAGUGAUUUGUGCAGGGUUGUGUGAGGAGCUGGUGGCAGAGCUUGGCAUUCUGGCUCUGGAGUCUGCAUUUGGCCAUCUCACCGUACAGUGUCAUAGAAACAGGAAACUCGAGAAGAUAAACUGCCAGGCUGUAUUUUGGAGUCAGUAUUUUAACACUGUCACCAUCUCAAGCAUGAUCUGUGGGACUCAUCACUGUGCUCUUUGACUUGAACUUCUUUAAGGUUAGUGGGAAAAUGAAGCUUUAGAGAAGAUGGGACUGGCCUAAGGUCACACUGCAUGUCAGAAGUGUGGUGGAGGGUCCAGGUCUUCUGACCAUUCAGUGCAAGCCAAAUUGUGCUAAUUUCCAAUUUUUCUCCCUUUCUCUUGGUGAGCUAUUUGGUGCUACUUCUACUCCUCAUGACCAAAGCUGGCUUUCAUGGUUUACUCAUGUACUUACUGAUGAAACCCUGAGACUUGGGGCCAGUGACUGUUCAGAGGUCCAUGUGAAGAUGCGCUGAAUGGUAUAAAGGACAGAGCAGUAAAGAGUGCUGGCUGAAUGCCUGGGCUGGCAAUCAGGCAUGUUGGAGUUUGAGUCCCAGUCUGCCACUCCAGCUCUGUGACCAAGAGGAAGUGAAGUCAUGUACCCUUUCUAAGUCUCUAGCCCCUCUUCUGAAAGACGAAGAUGCCACCACCAACCAUGUUAGUGGUUGUGAAUGCCAAGAAAGUCCAUGUGAAGCACAUAGCAUAGUGUCUGCCAUGCGUUAAGUGUUCCAAAAAUGGAAGCUAUGACUAUUUCACAGAGUACACUUCCCAUCACUUUUCAGUUCAUUUUGGCCUUCUCCCUCAAAAGCACUCCAGUGUUCUGAUCCAGCUGAUAAAACACCAAACAUUCACAUAGUGCUUUAAAAGUGACCCACUGUUUUUACAGACUGCAUUACAUAUGACCCUAACAACCACUGCAAUAUAGAAAUUCGCAUCUCCAUUCUCCAGAUCAGGAUACCGAAGCUCAGAAAAAUUAAAUGAUUUGCCCAGGAUCACAUAGUUAGUAAGCAGCCCAGCCAGAUCCUGUGUUAACUUGUUCAUCCGCUUCCUAUAAGAAAACAUCCAUUCAAGGCACAUGGGGCAACAAAGAAGGACUUAGAGCUGUGUGGCCCCUCGUCAGGGCAGUACCAGUUGCACCCAUAGUCCGGCCUGAAUACUCAGCUUAGGACUAUUGUGUCCAAUGUCCCAAACAUUUUGAAGCUACAUCUUAAAGAAGUGUCCUGCUCAGAUGCAGUUCUCCUUGUGAAAUCCGCAGGCCCCAAGGAAAGUGACUUUAAUCCAGUUUGCUCAUGCAAGAACAGACUGGCAUUUCACAUCCAGGAAAACAAUGGAUUUGUACUGUUCAGCUUUUGCCAUGCAAGGAGUUCCUGGUGUGGUUUAUUAAUUUACAUCUCAGGCUCCAGCUUCACUAUCAAUCAGAUUUGGAAGAAAAAAGUUACAAAGAAAGGCAGCUUGCUGAGAAACAGCGGAAGCAUGACGGUACAGACUGGGUUUUGAAAUGGAGACACAUUCUCAUGGCUUGUGGGCUGAGAGACACUGAGAAAGGAUUUUGUUCUUGAAAGAUGAUUGUUUUAAUGCUGGAGAUGGAGAGUUUUGACAAUUUUAAGUGCAUGUUCUGUGUGUAAGAAAGAGUCAUUACGUUUUUUUUUUCUUUCAGAUGUUGCCAUGCCUUAAAAUUGCUGAUGAUUAAAAUAGAACAUCCUGAGUUACAGAAAUUCAGCCCUAGUGUAUCCUGGCCUAAAAAUACAGAACAAUCAAGUUGAUUGUUGGAAAUGAGAGGCUAGGCAGGGUUGGAAACAUGCUAAUGUUUACUGAGUGAAAUCUUUCCUUCUCAGUAGAGUUGCCCUUGCAGCUGAAAGUCACUGAAAGACUCAACAAAAUAAGCAGAUCCCACUUGUCUCACUCUGUUCUCCUAUGCAUGCCCUGGAAAGAGAAUGAAUGAGCCCUUUUUAAUUUAUCAACUGGUUUUCUUCCAUCUCUUUACUAGUGAGCCAUGGGGGUUUUUUGCCGUUAACUGGGUAGCCAGUCUCUUCAUGGAGACUUAUUUUCAGGAAACUAGCCUCUUGCUUUAUGUGAAAACAAGGACCCAACUCAAGAUGUCUUAUCACAGUGUGUUCUGUUGCGUAACAGUUGCAUCUGUAGUCCAGCCUCAAUACUCAGGUUGGGACUGUUUUGUCCUGAUGUCUCGAACAUUUCAAAGCUACGUUCUUAAAGAAAUGUCCUGCUCAGAUAGAGCUCUCCUUGUGAAAUCCUCAAACCCCAGGGGAAGUGACCUUAAGCCAGUUUGCUGGCUUUUCAUGUCACAGAAAACAAUCGACUGCCACUACUCAGCUGUUGCCACACAGGAGUACCUGGCGUGGUCACUACUUGCCAACUCAGUACCCCACUUUCUCCCCAAGGACAUAAAAGCAAUGUGGGAAGAUAUACCAAAUGACCUUGUCACACUGGGCUAAUAUGAAGAGCCCACAGAUGCAAAAUAAUGUAUCAUACCUUUAUUCUUCUGAUUUUUUUUUUUUUUUUUUUUUUCGGAGACAGUCUCACUCUUUUGCCCAGGCUGGAAUCCAGUGGCGCGAUCUUGGCUCACUGCAACCUCUGCCACCCGGGUUCAGGCAAUUCUCCUGCCUCAGCCUCCCGCCCAGCUAAUUUUUGUAUUAUUAAUUAGUAGAGAGAGGGUUUCACCUUCUUGGCCAGGCUAGUCUUGAACUCCUGACCUCGUGAUACACCUGCCUUGGCCUCCCAAAGUGCUGGGAUUACAGGCGUGAGCCACCGUGCCUGGCCUUUUUUUUUUUUUUUUUUUUUUUUUUUUGAGAUGGAGUCUGGCUGUAUUGCCCAGGCUGGAGUGCAGUGGCAUGAUCUUGGCUCACUGCAACCUCUGCCUCCCAGGUUCAAGUGAUUCUCCUGCCUCAGCCUCCUGAGUAGCUGGGAUUGCAGGCAUCCCAUACCCGGCUAAUUUUUUUGAAACAGAGGCUUGCUCUGUCACCCAGGCUGGAGUGCAAUGGCACGAUCUCAGCUCAGUGCAACCUCCGCCUACUGGGCUCAAGCAACUCUCCUGCCUCGGCCUCAGCCUCACUACAGGCAUGUGCCACCACGCCUGGCUAGUUUGGUUUUUUUUUUUUGUAUUUUUUUAGUAGAUAUGGGGUUUCACCAUGUUGGCCAGGUUGGUCUCAAACUUCUGACCUCAAGUGAUCUGCCUGCCUCAGCCUCCCAAAAUGCUGGGAUUACAGGUAUGAGCCACCACGCUUAGCCUUCUGCUGAAUUUUUGAGAAGCAUACAUAAAGACAAUGUAAAAAACUUAGCAUAUUUGUUUGGCCCUGCUAAGGGCAUGGUUGAAUAUAUAGUGUGUGUGAUGUAUUUGGUGUAUGAGAUAUAUAUGAUCUUAUCAGACAUAAGUAAAAGAAAUUCAUUCUUCAGGAAAAAUUUUCCCCAUAACUGAAGUGUCAAUCAUUUGAAAAAACUUCUAGGCAGUAGGCAAACACUGUGACUAGUUAUUUAUCAAAAAUAAGCAGACUUUAGAGUUUUGUAACUGAUGAGAAUAAUCUGGCUGCUUCUUUUGUACUUCAGUCACUGAUACUGCGAAUUAGAGUAGCAUAUACAGAAGGAUGCAGGGGGUCCCUAAAGGAAUCACAGAAUUAGUGAAACCAUUAUUUGAGAGUUGCAGUGAUUCUUCUGUCCUGGCACUUUUCCCAGUUUUGGUGCUUAAAUUUACUAUCCACUUGAAAUGUGUCACUGCCUGUCACUUCACAAAGUAUGUGCCUUUCACUGCAGUCAACAAGCUGUUUACAUCUUUGAUGAAAUGAUUGCCACGCAUCUCCAUAGCCCUGGUGUUCUAUUCCCUUAUUCACAGAGAUUUUUUUUAAAAACCAGCCUAGCAGCAAUAGGUAUGUGCUGUGGAUGCUUCUCCAUGAUGAUAAAGGAUGAGUUUGUGCUGGGAUCUCCUUAUGAAAAGAUAACUGGCCAAGCCCAUGAGGAACAAGAAUGUUAUGCUAAUCAGACCCAAGGUAAACAGCCUGCAGUGCACCUCCUGACUGAUUAGCACUGAACCCACUUGGAAUCAUCAACCACAGGCACGUGGUAAUUGGAUGUUCUUCUAAUACACAUAGUGAGAUUGUAAAAUGAGGAUGAUAUAUGAGGAAAGUCAGACGGAGAAACUAAAGUUCAGUUCUUAAAUACAAGCCAAGGGAACAGACUAAGUGAAUGGUACAGCCAGGAUUGGAGCCUGGUUUUCACAAGGUGGUAUGUCAUGAUAAAACAAGCCAAAGAAAAGGUUGGGUAGUGUUUUGAGGCUAAAAGAGACCAAAGAGUCUUAGUGAAUCAACCUUGAUGCGAUCUGGGUUUGAAAAACCUAUAAAAAACCUUUUGUUUGGAGAAAGUGGGAGAAGUUGGAUGUAGGCUGGAUAUUUGUGGGUACCAAGGAAUUGUUUGUUUUCUUAGGUAUGGUAAGAUUUUGUGGUUAUGUAGAAGAGUGUCUUCAUUUUAUAGAACGACCUCAAAGUAGUUAGGAGCAGUGUAUGUAUGGGUGGUUAUCAAUUUACUUUCAAACAAUGCAGCAAAAAAUAUGUAUCUAUAUUACAUAUAAUUAAAGCAAAACAUGAUAAAAAGGAAUAGUUAUUGAAUUUAGAUAGUAUGGAUUUAGGAAUUCAUUGUAUUGUCAUUCCAAUUUAAUGUAUAAAAUUUUUUAUAACAGUUUAUAAAAACAGUGCACACCCCUUUAAUUAGGUGGCCUGGGUACAUGAAGUAUCUUUUUGGAUGCCUAGAACACAAAAAGGGACGACAACAGGCCACCUAAUAAGAUGAUACCAAGAACUAUACCAUGACGGCGAAAAAGAACUGCUGCAAAAAAUAAUUUGCCAAGGAGAACUCAGAGUACAAAGCCUUACCUUUGGAGUAGAGGGAAGGAGAGUCUUAAGUAAAGCUCACAAAAACCCCUAACUCAUAGAUGCAGUCUAAGGAAUUCAUUCCGGAAGCGACAUUAGCAUCUCAUUAGUGCCAUUAUGUGACUUACUUGGCCUCUGAGCUAGUCUAUUUUCUUCCCUAGACCCCAAAAUCUCAGUAAUCCUUUGGAUCCAAGUUAUCUCCAAGUGAAAAUAAUAGGUUUAGGAAAGCGUUUUUCUUCAACUUCUAUGGAGCACUUGCUUGCUUUGUCCUAUUUGCAUGUCCGACGGACGGUUCUCCAGCACCACUGCUAGUCGUCCUCCGCCUGCCUGGGUACUUGAUCACAGGAUGCCUCUGACUUCUCCUGCCUUUACCCAAGCAAAGGAUUUUCCUUGUCUUCCCACCCAAGAGUGACGGGGCUGACAUGUGCCCUUGCCUCUAAAUGAUGAAGCUGAACCUUUGUCUGGGCAACUUAACUUAAGAAUAAGGGAGUCCCAGGCAUGCUCUCCCAUCAAUAACAAAUUCAGUGACAUCAGUUUAUGAAUAUAUGAAAUUUGCCAAAGCUCUGUUUAGACCACUGAGUAACUCACAGCUAGGUUUCAACUUUUCCUUUCUAGGUUGUCUUGGGUUUAUUGUAAGAGAGCAUUAUGAAGAAAAAAAUAGAUCAUAAAGCUUCUUCAGGAAGCUGGUUUCAUAUGGUGGUUUAGAUUUAAAUAGUGAUUGUCUAGCACCAUUUGAAAUCAGUGUUCUUGGGGGAGACCAGCUGCGCUGCACUACCAACAGCAAAAGAAGUGAAUGGGACAGCUCUGAAGUAUUUGAAAGCAACAGCAGGAUGGCUGUGAGAACCUGCCUCACAUGUAGCUGACCCCUUCCUCACCCCUGCCAACAGUGGUGGCAUAUAUCACAAAUGGCAGUCAGGUCUCUGCACUGGCGGAUCCAACUGUGAUCGAAAGUUUUCCAAAAAUAAGUUGUGUCUGUAUUGAACAUGAACAGACUUUCUUCUUGUCAUUAUUCUCUAACAAUACUGCAUAACAAUUAUUUGCAUACAUUUGCAUUGCAUUAAGUAUUCUAAGUAAUCUAGAGACGAUUUAAAGUAUACGGGAGGAUGUGUGUAGGUUGUAUGCAAAUACUACACCAUUUUCUAUCAGAGACUUGAGCAUCUGUGGAUUUUGGUAUCCAAGGGGCUUUCUGGAACCAAUCCCUCAAGGAUACCAAGGGAUGAAUGUAAUUGUACAGGAUAUCGCAUUGUUGGAAUUUUAUACUUCUUUGUGGAAUAAACCUAUAGCACUUAAUAGAUAGUACAGACUCAUUCCAUUGUGCCUGGGUUAAAGAGCCCAAUGUAUGCUGGAUUUAGUAAGAUUUGGGCCCUCCCAACCCUCACGACCUUCUGUGACCCCUUAGAGGAUGACUGAUUUCUUUUGGUGUUCAGAGUCAAUAUAAUUUUCUAGCACCAUCUGAAAUCGGUUAUAAUGAUUGGGGAAGAGCACCAUGAUGCUGACUGCUGAGAGGAAAUGUAUUGGUGACCGUUGGGGCCAUGGACAAGAACUAAGAAAACAAAUGCAAAGCAAUAAUGCAAAGGUGAUUUUUCUUCUUCCAGUUUCUAAGUUGAAUUUCACUGACCUGAAUUGCAUGUGGUAUAAUACUAACAAAUGGUUCACUAUUAGCAUAUCAUGAAUGGUUAUACUUUAUAGAAAUUCCAUAGACUUGGUGGGGGUUUUGUUUUGGUGACGGAUACCUAGAAACACUCCUGGGGAAAAUCGAUGACUGGCUUAGAUGAUGGGAAAGGAGCAGCGAGGGAGUCAAUUCUGUUGUUGAUGAGAAGCUGCACCAGCUAUCUCUGAACUCUCCUCUCUUAGCUGGCUGAGGAGUUCCCUCCAUGGUUAAACAGGUCAUUUUCUUACAUAAGGAAAAAUGGUCCAGAGAAACUGGGUUUCUAUGGCUGAGACAGAACUGUGCUAAUAUGUGUCAGUUCAGUUUAGAAGGCAAAGCAACAAAAGCAGGUGCUACUUGAACUAGGAUCCUAGAGUAUACCUUUGAUAUGGUUUGGAUGUUUGUCCCCUCCAAUCUCAUGUUGAAGUGUGAUCCCCAGUAUUGGGGGUGGGGCCUGGUGGGGGUGGUUGAGUGAUGGGGCGGAUCCCUUGUGAAUGGCUUGGUGAUGUCCUCACUUAACGAGUUCCUGCUCAGUUAGAGGGAGCCGGUUGUUUAAAAAAGCUGGCACCUCCUUCCUCUCUCUUGCUCUUUCUUUCUUGCUCCCUCUCUCGCCAUGUGACAUGUCUGCUCCCUCUCCGCCUUCCACCAUGUAUAAAACAUCCUGAGGCCUCAUCAGGAGCCGAGCAGGUACCAGUGCCAUGCUUGUACGGCUGCAAAACUGUAAGCCAAAUAAACCUCUUUACUAUAUAAAUUACCCAGUCUCGGGUAUGUCUUUAUAGCAGCGCAAAACGGACUAACACAACCUCACUAGAAGUGAAGUCAUUAGACCAAAAACAAUACUGAGUUUUUAGGUCCACUAAGAGGCAAAAAUAAAAGGCUCUUUAUAGCAGCAUGAUUUAUAAUCCUUUGGGUAUAAGCACAUGUAUGCUAGAACUUAAAGUAUAAUAAUAAAAUAUAAAAAUAAUAAAAUAAAAUAAAAGGCUCAAGAAUGAGCCAUCUCGGCCGCUCCUCCUCCAGGGGCCCCUGUGUGCAGCUCCCAACACAGGUACUGCACAGACCGGCCACCUGCUGUCCCCAUGUGGCGUCCUGGAGAACUGCAGGGGCACCUGGUGGAAUUUGGGCCUUGUCCUUCUGUUUUCUUUCUGGCCUGGAAAAGCCACUGGCCUCACAAUCAAGAGUUAAUAUUCUAUCUACCCUGCUUAAGCUUUCCCGCCCUCUCACACUGCCUCCCUCCUUUUCCCUCCUGCCUGUCACUUGUCUGGAAAAGGCCUUUUCUCCUCGGGGCUAACACAUGCAAUUUGUAGCCAAAACAUUCUGUCUACCACACAAAUCCAACGAGAAUCAGGAUCAUUCCACCACAUCUUUUUCUAUCCCAUGGUUAUUAUUUUCCCAAAACUCUUGUCUUUUGCUUUCUUACCUAUUCGCUGUUUUCCCUAAGUAAUCUUAUUUACUCCCCUGGUUCCAAAUACAUCCCUAUGUGUUGAUUUCCCUCAAACCAGAGGUCUGGCCUGGGAUAUUUUUUGAGACAUCUUGCUUUUUAUAUUUUUAGUAGCUCCUAAGUAUAAUAGUUCAGCCUGCUCUUCUAAACUUGUCUCAAUUUAAUCCAUUUAUGCUUGAGGUUGCAAUUUUUUGAAUUUUUGCCAUCAGACCUUGGCAAUGACCUUGAGCAGUAGGAGACAACUCCCACAUGCUUAGCAUUCCAAUAAUGGAACACUAGGCAUAUACCAAAGCCAUCCACAUUGCCUUCUCCCCAAAGCCAGCUCUCCCUGCUCUGCCCCAUGGUGAAAGCUGCGAACACCAGAGGUCUGUGACCUCUUCCCUCUCCCUUACCCACAUCCAUACUCAGCACAACUUGUUGCUGUUCUCUCUCAAUUCUCUCUUUAGGAUCCAUCCCUUUCUCUGCUCUUCCUAGACAGCUUUCUGGGCCCACCCCUCGCCAUUAGUCUAGCUUUGUUAUAGCCACCAGUUAAUCUUUGUAAAAUACAUACGUGAGCUGGGCACGGUGGCUGGUGCCUGUAAUCCCAGCUACUCAGGAGGCUGGGGCAGGAGGUUGCUUGAGCCCAAGAGGUUGAGGCUGCAAUGAGCCAUGAUUGCAUCACUGCACUCCAGCCUGGACGACAGACCAAGAUCCCAUCUCUUUAAAAAAUAAAAAUAAAAAUUGUUUAACCACAUGACCUUGCUCCUUGUCCCUCACUUUUAGCUGAACUCUUAUAAGUGUGUCAACCAGGUACCAGACCCUUCAUGACCCCAUGCCUACCUGUGUCACCAUCUUCUGGCUGUGCUUCCUGGGGCCUGUGUUCUGUGCUCACCCAGCUGCUUGCUGCUGAGAACACUCAGGUAUCUUGGCAUUUCUUAGCCUGUGUCUGUGCUAUUUCCUCUGCCCACAUCUCCCCUCUCCUCCUCCUCGUCAGCUAGGGACCUCCAGCCCCUAGGGACUGUAAGCUAGGGACCUCCAACCUGCAGCCCCUGGCUCAGGUGUAAACUUGUCUAGGAAGCCUUCCUCUGCCUUCUGCAUCAAGGCUUAGAUCCCUGGGCAAAGGCUUUCUUCUCUGUACCCCUUCAGAGCCUGAUGGCACUUCGCAUGUUAUAUUCUCAUGAUUGAUUACCUACUAGGCUUCUCUGCAAGGCUGGAAAAUCCUUGCUCCUAGGAGGGACGGUAGACAAGAACAAGACAUACUGUGUACACUCCAUUCUUACAUUCCACGUGAGCUAUCCUUUGUGUAGGUGUCUGUGGCAAAUCUUCCUUCUAGGCUGCAGCCUCUACUUUUCAUAGUUUCUCUCCAUUUUCAUCUGCCAUGUGCAUGAGGAAUAAAAACUACUUCCAAUGAUGACCAAAAUAAGAUGGAAGAAAAUAACCCUGCUUCAAAGAACAUUUCUGAGACCAUAAAUAUGAUUUUGAUGUAUCUUCCAUUAUGGAUUACCCAUGUGGUUUUUUUUUUCCUUCUAAAUGCAUAAACAGGAAUUGUUUAAUAGGCUAGAGAGCCAUGAAAAGCAAAAUAAUUAAGGAUUGUUGUCCUCAUUUCAUAGAAGAGCAAACAAAGACAGAAAAACAGAUGUGCCUUAACCAAAAAGGGCAGUAAAUUUAUGCAAAGCAGACUGAACCCCCAUUAAAAGUAAUCAUUUACAGCGACCAAGGGCCAAGCACGUGAUCACCACCCUCCUCUCCCAAUAGCUCUGAAGGGUGGGUAGUAUUUCCCCAGCUUAUGCACGAGGAAACAGAUGCACAGGAAAGUCAAGUAACUUGCCUGCAAUGCCACGGCUAGUCAACAUGAGAGUUUGAAUUACAAAUCAGGUGGCGGUGGCGGUGGUGAUGAUGAUGAUAAUAGCAGCUUAUCAUCAUCAUUGAGCUCUUAUUUUGUGUUAGAUACUUGGUAAGUAUUUUGCAUGAAUUAGCUCAUUUAGUCUGACUUUCAAAACAGCCCUUUGAGGUCAGUGUUAUUAUCAUCAUUCCCAUUUUGCCAUGAAGAAACAAAAGAAUUAAAUAAUCCAAGAUCGUCUAACUGACAUUUCCAAGCAGGAGCACAAACCCAGAUCUCUGUGAUUCCAGAGCCUGUGCUCUUAAAUCAGCACUGCUCAUUUCAGUGUGGGAGAUGGCGUAAAUGGGUGUGUUCACUUGCUGGGCAGCCUCAUCUGUGGUCCCCUUGAUCCCCACCUACUGGCAUUCAUGCCCUGUGCUAUUCCCUCCCCUGGAGUGUGGACUGGACCUAGUAAUUUGCUUCUAAUGGAUGGAAUAUGUCAAAAGUGAUAGAUGUCACUUCUGAGACUAGGUUACAAAUAGACUGUGAUUCUGUUGUCUUCUUCCUCAGGCUUGCACCCUCACGACAUGCUCUCUCUCUCUCCCUCUCCUCUUUUCUCUCUUCUCUCCCUUCUCUCCUCUCUCUUAUCUCUCUCUUCUCUCUCUCGUACACAUACUCUGGAAAGCCAGCUACCAUACUGGGAACUGCCCAAUGGAGAGGCCCACAUUCCACAAGGAACUGAUGUCUUCAGCCAAUACCUCGCCAGGACCUGAGGCCUGCUGAGAGUCACGAGUGGCCUUCGUGGGUCCUCUCUCAACGAGCUUGCAGGUGACCACUGCGCCAGCCAAAACCUUGAUGGCAGCCUAUGAGUGAGUGACCCUGAGCCAGAAGACCCAGUUAAGCCAUGCCCAGGAUCCUGACCUGCAGAAACUAUGACAUAAUAAAUUUAUUGUUUUAUGCCACUAACUUUUGGGGUUACUUAUGCAGCAAUAGAUAGCUAAUACAGCUCAUAGUAUCCUUAUCUAGCCUCAAACAUUCUGCCUUUAGUAUCUAACUUUCCUAACUUUUUAGAUAAACUUUUUUGGGGGGGAUAAUUUUAGAUUUACAGAAAAAAGGCAAAGAUAGUAUAGAGAGUUCCUUUAUAUUUCUCUCCUAGUUUCCUCUAUUGUUCAUAUCUCAUAAAACGAUGGUUUUGGGUUUUUUGAGACGGCGUCUCACUCUGUCACCCAGGCUAGAGUGCAGUGGUGAUCAUAGCUCACUGCAGCCUUGAACUCCUGGCUCAAGGGAUCUUACUACCUCAGCUUCCCAAGUAGCUGGGUUCACAGCAUGUACCACCACACAUGGCUAAUUAAAACAUAUAUAUAUUAUAUAAUAUAUAUAUUUUAAGUUAUUAGUAAGUAUAUCAAAUACUGCUCCAGAUUUACAAAUGGUUAUUUUCCACUAUGAUGUCAAUACACAUUAAUUUGUAAAAUAUGCAAAUAAUUUUCCUGUAACUAUUCAAAUGGAAAAUAUUCAACAAAGAAUACUAAUUUCCUUCUUAAUUCCUGUGUUGUGUGAUCCAAGUCACUUGAUCUUUCUGGGUUUGUUUUCUUUAGUAUCAAUUUAUCUUACUAGAAUUUAACAACAGUUGUGUAAUACAAUCUUUUAAUACUUGUAAACACUCUGCAGUGCAAAAUUCUGUAUUUAAAAAUUCCUAUUUCCUAAUUGCUUAAACAUUUAGCUGCAUUAUUUGUAGCGUUUCCAAGUGAUGCUUAAAGACAAUCCAUAUAAAACCAACAUCCUCAGGAAAAGAAUAAGUGGUACUGCCUAGAGAAAAAGUCCCUCCUACUUAUUACAUCUACCCUCCUGGUUGAAUCUUUUUUUUUUUUCUUUUUCUGAGACAGAGUCUCGCUCUGUCGCCCAGGCUGGAGUGCAGUGGCGCAAUCUCAGCUCACUGCAACCUCCGCCUCCCAGGUUCAAGCAAUUCUCCUGCCUCACCCUCCCAAGUAGCUGGGACUACAGGCACACACCACCACGCCCAGCUAAUUUUUGUAUUUUUAGUAGAGAUGGGGUUUCACCACGUUGGCCAGGAUGGUCUCAAUCUCUUCACCUCAUGAUCUGCCCGCCUCAGCCUCCCAAAGUGCUGGGAUUACAGGCGUGAGCCAUUGCGCCCGGCCUGAAUUUUUUUAAUAUGAUAUAGAAAUGAGAAAAAUCAUUAUGAGAAACUAACACAUACUUAUGAGAAAAAAUUAGCUUUGUAUAGAUCUUAAAAAGCCCUUUAGUGAGACAGGGUUUUAAAACUCUUCUUGGUGACCUAACAAAAAAACCCAAACAAAUAUUUAAACAACAACAACAACAACAACAAGAACAAAUCUGAAGCUGAUUCACAAGAGUCCAAGUCUUGGUGGCCAGUGUUUGCUGCUUAGUUGACUCUGAGUGACUAAGCUCUUCUUUGUAGCCAAUUCACCUGUUUCAAUAGUUGACUAAUAAAAAAAAUAGGCAAUAAAAUAUGUUGCAGAAUGAGGGGGUGCCAAAGGAGAGAGAACUGAAAUCUAAUUGGAAAAAAGUGAAGCGAAACAUAGUGUAAGCUCAUUCACAAGACAUUACUACCCAGAACUCUGAAUUCAAGUUUUCUCUUCUUCUCCAUUUUUGAAAGUGUCAGACGACAAGAAAGCAAGCUGUUUACUAAAGAACUGCAGCAUGAAUAAUUUCUGUAUUAUAAAUGAUAAGAUAUUCUAUUUUGAGGUUAGUUUAUAAUUCAUUUCUGUCUGUUGUGCCUAAAAUCUUGGCUAUUCAGAAUGAUGACGGCUCCUCAGAUACUAUGGAAAUAAUAAAUCAUCAAAGGCAUACAUUUAUUCACUCUUUCGUGUUAACUAAAGCAGAAUGUAUAGCGCAGAGACUUUGUAAACAACUCUUACUUAACUGAAACUACAAUAGAAUCUGUGUACUAGCCAUACAAAAUCCACUAUACAGUGUUCCUUCCUUUAUUAUUGAGGUUAAAAAUUCACAUAACAUAAAACUUACCGUUUUUACCAUUUUAACCAUUUUAAAGCAUACAAUUCAGUGGCCUUAGUAUGUUCACAGUGUUGUGUGACCAUCACCACUCUCUAACUCCACAACAUUUUAAUCACCCCAAGAAGAAACCUGUACCCAUUAAGUAGACAUUCUUCAUUCAUUCCUCCUCCCAGCUCCUGGCAAAAUCUGCUUUCUACAGACUUACAUAGUCUGGACAUUUCAUGUAAACGGAAUCAUACAAUAGGUAUGAUACAUGAUACAUACAUACAACAGGGAUGAUGCAUGAUAAAAGGUACGCAGCCUUUUCUGACUGGCUUCUUUCACUUAGCAUGAUGUUUUCAAGAUUCAUCCACGUUGUAGUGUGUAUCAGUACUUCAUUCCUUUUUAUGACUGAAUAAUAUUCCAUUAUUUGGAUAGACAACAUUUUGUUUAUCCACUCACAGGUUCGUACUGGCAUUUGAGCUGUCUCGUUCUUUAAAUUUAAACUUUUAUUUCUGUCAGUGUAAUAUAUAUCCAUAAACAAGUAAGAGGGCACUGAGUCCCAGAGCAAACAAACAGCUGUUCUCUGUCCUACUGUUUUCUCUCGCAGGCAGCUGCUUUCAAAUCAUUUAUCUGUUUCUUCUGAUAAGAGAUUCUAUAGACUGUUACUUCCAUUUUAAAAUGCUCAUACCUCUAUGUCUUCAUUUUGACUUUAUUUUUUUAAUUUUUUUAAUUUUUCUACUAUGGGAAAUGAGAAUUUAGCUUUAACUCCACUGCCACCUGUACACAUAUUACUCCAUUCGCCUUCACAAUUUAGUUAGAACACAGUUUUCGGUUAACUCAAGAAUGGUAUUGAUAAUUAUAUAGAUACUGUUGAUAUCAUAACUACAUAGUUUUAGAUUUCCUUUUAAAACUUCUUAUAAACUCUGAGAUGAAUAAUUUCAUCAUUUUAAAUUUAAUUCAUGAUAUACUUAAUUCCUAAACCUUACAGAACUGUAACAUUCCCCUCAGCAUUUUCAGACCCCACACACAGUCAGUGUGUGUGUGCGCACACACAGUCAGUGUGUGUGCGCACACACAGUCAGUGUGUGUGUGUGUGCGCGCGCGCACACGCACACAUCCUUCAGCAGUUUCCUGACAAAGGUCAUUUUUUUUUAGGUUUUUCAUUUUGCCCAUAUUUUAUUGAUCAUUUCACUGGUUAUGGAAUUCCUGACUGGCUCAGAUUUUGGUUUUCUAGCCCCCAGUGCUGUGAAGAGGUCUGAUACAAUGCUGAUUUCUGGCCCUUUUGCUCUGGAAGUUUUGAGGAGAUUCUGUUUAUCCUUUGUGUCCUUUAAAUUUCCUGAGUUUGUGCCAUAAUAGAGGUCUUUUUCAUUUAAUAUACCUUUUUUUUUUUCUUUUUCUUUUUUUUUUUUUUUUUUGACAGGGUCUCACCUCACUCCCAUCGCCCAGGCUGGAGUGCAGUGGUGUGAUCACAGCUCACUCCAGCCUCGACUUCCCAGGCUCAGGUGAUCCUCUCACCACAGCCUCCCAAGUGGGUGGGACUACAGGUGUGCACCACCAUGCCCAGCUAGUUUUUUGUAUUUUUAGUAUUUACCUCCAUUCUACAGCUGUUAAAACAGAGGCAUCAGAAGGAAGAACAGCUUUCCUUGGUCAGUGAGGAUGGGAAGAAGCUCUAGUGUUUCCUCUCCUCCAUUCCUUCUGGGUAUAAUGGCCACCCAUUGCAGUGGGCUUUGAUUUUUUUCCAAGAAUGGAGCUUGGAACCCCAUAGAAAUUGUGUUUUGUUAAUAAGCUGACGGAAGGAUUUUUGGCAUCGAUUUUAAAUUCCCAUAGUCUGCUUCUAGCGAAGCUCCACACCUCUCAUUUACUCUCUCUCUCCUCUUCAGGGGCCAAAGAACAAAGUGUAGUCAACUGUUUUGAAGCCACCCUGUUUUGAAGAGGCGUUUUCCACUCAGGUGGCCUUGCACCGAAUGGCCAACCCUGCCCACUGUACGGAAACAAUAGAUGCUGCCUUAGAAGGGAGCAAGCUGGCACUGCCCUGGUAUGUGGGUGCGGCCAGGAAGCUUUGGGCCAAACUGUGCAGACUUGCUGUCUCAGGAUUAGCACUUUCUACAGCCAGAGUGGAGACGAAGGGCAGGAGGCACACAGCCCUUCCUCCUGGAGAUGAAAGGGGUCUGUAGGUGGAUGAGGACCUUGUUCACCAAAAGUCACAGGAGGAAGUCAAAGAGGAGGAGGAUAGAAACAUAGUGGUGCUUCUAUCACCUAUAAAUUCUGCAUUCAUGAAAAAAAAAGUCCACAAAAUUAUGGCCCUGAACCAAUCUGUAUCAACCCUGAACAUGCUGGAUGCCACCCACUGUGGGUUGGGCAGAAGAUGGUGCAGGCCUGACAGAAGUUGGUAACCAAUACUGUGCCAGAGGCUUGGUGUGGCAGGAGGUGACAGGACAAAGGUACCAGAGGAUGCCAGCUGGGUGUCAGCCUUCUUAGCUGUCAGAACUGGUCUUGGAAAAAAGGACAGCCGUUGGGUAUGCUUUUGUAAGAGGCAUUUUUGCUCUUGCAGAUAGCUGCCUCUCUCUUCCUUCCUGUGACUGAACAGGCCAGAGAGGAAGGUCAAAGGCAGGCAAGAGAACAAGGACAAAGGCACAAAGUGUGGAUUGUACAUGGACUCCUGUUCUAAUCCAGCUCACUUACCAGCUUUCUAUGUCAAAAAACAAAAAAUUAGAAACUUGGAUGGGAAAGAGGCUGGCACAAAUGUAAAUUAUGAACUGAGUUCCAAAGGAAAAGAGGCAACAGAUAAGAGAUUCUUGUGGGUACCUUACCUGCGAAUUACUUUGAAAUGGCCUUGGAAGGGUCCUGAUGGGCAUGGAAAAAAAAAACCCACUAGCCCCAUUUUCCCAAUAUAGAAGCGAAGGUCAAUAGCAGUACCUCGAAAUGUCUGGGAAGUGAAAGUGACAGAGAAAAAGAGGACUUGUGGACAUAUGUGUUGGCCUUUUUUAUCUGAAGGUGCUAUGGCUGGUGAAGAUGGGCUGCGUUCUGGGUCCCUGGGAGAGCUGAUCCUGAGCUCAUGUCUCUGUCCCAGCAGCAGGAGCCCCUCAGUGCUAUAGAAUGUGAGGUCUGCUGUGAGUCCAAAAGACCAGACAUGUGACACAUUCCUCUGCUUUCUGGAGCAUAGUAUCAGCCCUUAGAAGCAGCUGUUCACCUCUCCUUUAGUAGCUCAGCAAGAAUUCAGUUCAGUAAAAAUUUAUUUAGCACCUACCCUGCUCCAGGUACUCUCUAGGCACUGAGAGGGGUUUUCCUGUACUGUGCCCAGAACUCUGCUCCUCAGGCCUUUCUCAGCUCAGGAUACUGGCUUAAGCAGCUAAACUGAUCGCAAGUGCCACCCUUCCAUGCUGCUAAAAACCCAUGCUGUUCUCCUAGACAAAGUUAAUGUCUGGCUCAACAUACCACACCUUCUCUCUUAAGUCCUUAAGUUCUGAGAAAGGGAUCCCAGGAGGUAUGCAGGACUCUUGAUGUUGAAUGAGAGGCAAGACCCUCCACUCCUGUUGCUCGACCCUCUCCCAGGUCCCCUAGAGGAAAGGCUCAUCCUGUGGCUUCUCCCUCCUAAACCAAUCCCUGUGCAUCCCUUUCUUUGUUUGUGCCACGUCCACACACUAAUCUCUCUGCCUUGUGUUGGCAGAUGCUGGUGGGAUGGAGCUGCAGUUUGUGUCUCUGAAGCAGAUUAAACACUGUCUGCCCCAGCCUGUCUUAACUAUCUUCUCACUGGUUAACAGUCCUUGGAAGAAUAAACAAUCCACACAAGCUCUCAGAAAGCAGAAGUUCCAUGAUUCGUGACCAGAGUCUCAUAGCACAGAAUUCAUCUCUAAAAACAGGUUUGUAGCUGACCAGACUCCACCAACUCAGAUAUGUCCACCCCUAACUUGAAAUGAAAGGUGAGGGGAAGGUCGAGCUCAGAGCUCAGUACUCUAAGGACUGCCUCUGGUCAGGUUCCAGAUCAGAACAGACCACUGUCCUGUCACUAUUGGUCUAACACAUGGGAUCUCUGGUAACACACAUAGUACAUUCUACUUUGCAUCACCCACAUGCACGUUUUUCUCACCAAAUAGACUGUAAACUUCUUGAUUCAGGGUCCAUAUUCCUAGCAUAUGCCUAGCAUAAUAUAGGUACUCUCUGUGUUCAAUCACAUUAGCAUGGAAAGUACUAUUCCCUGCAGAUUCUGUGGGAUUAUGGAGGAUCAGCCUAUGACAGAGCUUUAUAUAAACCCACAUUUGCUGAAUGUCAGCAAUGAAGCAGCCCACUGCUGCUGACUCCAGUGAAGUCAGCAAAACCCACACUGAGCAGAAGCCCUUGUGGUUGUCUUAGGAACUGUGACAUACCUCUUAUCAUUCGCCAUAAAUGGCAAAAAUAUUGUGCUUGGCCUGCCUUGAGUUUACUUUGGGGCCAGGUUGUUUUCUGACAAUUCAAAGAACUACUCCUAUGUAGAUGGCGUUCAGGAAAUGGGAGCAUCCGAAUCUAUAAAUUUUAGCCAGAAAUUUCCGCUAUAUUUUAUACCUCAAAAGGAGCUCAAGGGAGCAGAUAAGGUUGGUAGAAGUACAGAAGGGGGGUGGGGGUGCUGCACUUCCCCAUAUCACUUCUAGCACAUCUCACAACUAAGAGUUUGAAUCUACUACCUUUGUAGGAGUUCAAUUUUCAAGUUCAGAGGAUUCAGCACCAUGGUCAGAGCCAAUGACAUAACAAAUGUGAACCUGAAGGAAACCCUCUCUGUAGGAGGAAAACAAAGGGAGUCUUUCAGAGAAGUAUUCUCUGUCUUCCCCCACUCUGAUAACCUCUAAGCCAAUGCUUAGGUUAGCCAGAGGAAAAAAACCAACUCCCAACUCCAUGUUAUGACAGGCCCCUUCUGUCUUCAAGUGUUGCCUGAACUAGGAACCAUAGGUCUCAAUCUGAAUUUAUCCCAUUGUCUUUCUCACUUUGGCAGUAAGUUAUGUCUUCUUUUUUGGUGAUUUUUUUUUAGAGACAGAGUCUUGCUCUGGCACCCAGAUUGGAGUACAGCGGUGCAACCACGACUCACUGCAGCCUUGACCUCCCAGCCUCAGAUGAUCCUCCCACCUCAGUCUCCCAAGUAGUCAGGACUACAGGUGUGCACCACCACACCUGGAUAAUUAUUUUUUAAAACUUUUGUAGAGAUGGAGUCUUACUAUGUUGCCCAGGCUGGUCUCAACUCCUGGGCUCAAGCAAUCACCCUGCCUUGGCCUCCCAAAGUGCUGGGAUUACAGGCAUAAGCCACCAUGCCUGCCCCCUCCUUUUUUUUUUUGUAUUUUUAAUUUAUGUAUCAUAGUUGUACAUAUUUUUGGGGUAUGUGUGAUAUUUUGAUAUAUGUAUACAAUGUGUAAUGAUCAAAUCAGGUUAAUUGGGAUAUGUGUCAUCUUAAAUACUUACCUUUUUGUGUUGGGAACAUUACAGUUCUUCUAGCUAUUUUGAAACAUACAAUAAAUUAUUGUUAACUAUGAUUUUCUUACUGUACUGUUGAAUACUAGAACUUCUUCCUUCUAAUUUUAUUUCUGUACCCAUUAACCAACUUCUCUUCAUUCCCCCUGCCCCCACUCCGUACCUCUCCUCUGAUAAACACCAUUCUACUCUCCACUACUGGCCACUUCCAUGAGAUCCACUUUUUAAACUCACACACAUAAAUGAAAAUAUGUGACAUUGGUGCUCAAUAACAUGUAGUUCCAUCCAUGUUGCUACAAAUGACAGGAUUUCAUUAUGUUUGUGGUGAAAAAAUAUUUCACUGUGAAUAUAUACCACAUUUUCUUUAUCCAUUCAUCUGUUGAUGGACACAGGUUGAUUCCAUAAUCUUGGCUAUUGUGAAUAGUUCUACAGUAAACAUUGGAGUGCAGAUACCUCUUCGAUAUAUUGACUUCUUUUGGAUAUACACCCAGCAGUGAGAUUCCUGGAUCAUAUGGUAGUUUUAUUUUUAGUUUAUUGAGAAGCCUCCAUACUGUUUUCAUAGUGGCUAUUGUACUUACAUUCCCACCAACACUAUACCAGGGUUCCUCUUUCUCUGCAUCCUUGCCAGCAUUUGUUAUUUUUUUCUCUUUUUGAUAAUAGAUUUCUAACUGAAGUGAGUUGAUAACUCAUUGUGGUUUUGAUUUGCAUUUCCCUGAUGAUUAGUGAUGUUGAGCAUUUUGUAAUCUACCUGUGGCCAUUUGUAUGUCUUGAGAAAUUUUUACCCAGCUCUUUUGCCCAUUAAAAAAAAAUCAGAUUGUUAUUUUGCUAUUGAAUUGUUUACAUUUCUUACAUAUUCUAUGUAUUAAUUCAUUGUUAGAUGGAUAGUUUGCAGAUAUGUUCUUCCAUUCUGAAGGCUGUCUCUACACUUUGUUCCUUCCUUUGCUGUCUAGAAGCUUCUUAGCUUGAUGUAAUCCCAUUUUUCUAUUUUUUGCUUUGACUUCCUAUUCUUUUGCGGUCCUACCCUAAAAAAUCUUUGCCCAAACCAAUGUCCUGUAGCAUUUCUUCAGUGUUUUGUUCUAGCAGAUUCAUAGUUUUAGGUCUUACAUUUAAGUCUUGAAUUCAUUUUGAGUUGAUACUUGUAUAUGAUGAAAGAUGGGGAUCCGGUUUUAUUUUUCUGCAAACAGAUAUACAGUUUUCCCAGCACCAUUUAUUAAGGAGACUCUUUUCCCCCCCAGUAUGUGUUCUUAGUGCCUUUGUUGAAAAUGAGUUGGCUCUAAGUACAAAGACUUAUUUCUGAGUUCUUCAUUCUGUUCCAUUGGUCUAUGUGUCUGUUUUUAUACCAGUACUAUGCUUUUUUGGCUACUAUACCUCUGUAGUUUAAUUUGUUUGUUUUCUGAGACAGGGUCUCUCUCUGCUGCCCAGGCUGGAGUGCAGUGAUGCAAUCUCGACUCACUGAAACCUCCGCCUCCCAGGUUCAAGUGAUUCUCCUGCCUCAGCCUCCCAAGUAGCUGGGAUUACAGGUACCCGCGACCAUGCCCAGCUAAUUUUUGUAUUUUCAGUAGAGACGGGGUUUCGCCAUGUUGACCAGACUGGUCUCGAACUCCUGGCUUCAAACAAUCUACCCACCUCAGCCUCCCAAAGUGCUGGGACUAGAAGCAUGAGCCACUGCAUCUGGCCUGUAGUAUAAUUUGAAGUCAGAUAAUGUGAUGCUUCCAGCUUUGUUCAUUUUGUUCAGGAUUGCUUUGGCUAUUUGGGGUCUUUCGUGUUUUCAUAUAAAUUUUAGGAUUUUUUUUUUCUAUUUCUGUGAAGAACUGUCAUUGGUAUUUUUAUAGGAAUUGCAUCAAAUCUGUAGAUUGCUUUGGGUAGUAUUGUCAUUUUAACAAUAUUAAUUCUUCUGAAAAGUGAGCAUGGGAUGUCUUGCCCUUUUUAUCCUCUUCAAUUUCUUUAAUCAAUGUUUUGUAGUUUUCCUUGUAGAAGUCUUCCACCUCCUAAAUUUAUUCCUAGGCAUUUUAUUUGUAGAUGUUGUAAGAUUGCUUUGUUGGUUUCUUUUUCAGAUUGUUGGCUGCUGGCAUAUAGAAAUUUUACUGAUUUUUGUAUGUUGAUCUUAUAUCCUGUAACUUUGCUGAAUCUGUCACUUCUAAUAGGUUUUUUUGGUGGACUCUUUAGGUUUUUCUAAAUAUAAGAUCGCGUUGUUUGCAAACAAGGAUAAGUCAACUUCUUCCUUUCCAAUUUGCAUGCCCUUUAUUUCUUUCUCUUGACUAAUUGCUUUGGCUAGUACUAUGUUGAAUAAAAGUGGUGAAAGUGGGCAUCCUUGUCUUAUUCUAGUUCUUAAUGCAAAGGCUUUCCAUUUUUUCCCAUUUAAUAUUAGCUGUAGGAUUCUCACAUGUGGCCCUUAUCACACUGAGGUAUGUUCUUUCUUUCUUUUUUUUUUUUUUUUUUUUUUGAGAUGGAGUCUUGCUCUGCUGCCCAGGCUGGAAGUGCAGUGGUGUGAUCUCAGGUCACUGCAACCUCCACCUCCCAGGUUCAAGCAAUUCUCCUGCCUCAGCCUCCCAAGUAUCUGGGACUACAGAUGUGUACCACCAUCCCUUGCUCUUUUUUUGUAUUGUUUUAGCAGAGACGAGUUGUAUUAGGGUUCUCUUUUACUGUAUUAGUUCGUUUUCAUGCUGCUGAUAAAGAUACCCAAAAUUGGGAACAAAAAGAGAUUUAAUUGGACUUACAGUUCCACAUGGCUGGGGAAGCCUCAGAAUCAUGGCAGGAGGCAAAAGGCACUUCUUACACGGCAGUGACAAGAGAAAACUGAGGAAGAAGCAAAAAUAGAAACCCCUGAUAAACCCAUCAGAUCUCAUGAGACUUAUUCACUAUCACAAGAAUAGCAUGGGAAAGACCAGCCCCCAUGAUUCAGUUACCUCCCACUGGGUCCCUCCCACAACAUAUGAGAAUUCUGGGAGAUACAAUUCAAGUUGAGAUUUGGGUGGGGACACAGCCAAACCACAUCAUUCUGCCUCUGGCUCCUCCAAAUCUCAUGUCCUCACGUUUCAAAACCAAUCAUGCCUUCCCAACAGUCCCCCAAAGUCUUAACUCAUUUCAGCAUUAACCCAAAAGUCCACAGUCCAAAGUCUCAUCUAAAACAAGGCUAGUCCCUCCUGACUGUGAGCCUGUAAAAUCAAAAACAAGCUAGUUACUUCCUAGAUACAAUGUGGGUACAGGUAUUGGGUAAAUACAGCCAUUCCAAUUGGGAGAAAUUGGCCAAAACAAAGGAUUACAGGGCCCAUGCAAGUCCAAAAUGCAGUGGGGCAGUCAAAUUCUAAAGCUUCAAAAUGAUCUCCUUUAACUCCAGGUCUCAUAUCCAGGUCACGCUGAUGCAAGAGGUGGGUUUCCAUGGUCUUGGGCAGCUCCACCCCUGUGGAUUUGCAGGGUACAACCUCCCUCCUGGCUGCUUUCAUGGGCUGACAUUGAGUGUCUGCAGCUUUUCCAGGUGCAUGGUGCAAGCUGUUGGUCGAUCUACCAUUCUGAGGUCUGGAGUACAGUGGCCCUCUUCUCAUAGCUCCAUUAGGCAGUGCCCUAGUAGGGAUUCUAUGUGGGGGCUCUGACCCCACAUUUCCCUUCCACAACAUCCUAGCAGAGGUUCUCCAUGAGGACCCCACCGCUACAGCAAACUUUUUCCUGGGCAUCCAGCCAUUUCCAUUCAUCUUCUGAAAUCUAGGCCGAGGUUCCCAAACCUCAAUUCUUCUGUGUACCCACAGGCUCAACACCACAUAGAAGCUGCCAAGGCUUGGGGCUUCAACCCUCUGAAGCCACAGCCUAUGCUCUGUGUUGGCCCCUUUCAGCCAUGGCUGGAGCAGCUGGGACACAGGGCACCAGCAUGGGUACUCCCCUGGGCCCGGCCCAUAAAACCACUUUUUCCUCCUGGGCCUCCAGGCCUGUGAUGGGAGGGACUGCUGUGAAGGUCUCUGACAUGGCCUAGAGAGACAUUUUCCCCAUGGUCUUGGGGAUUCAUAUUAGGCUCCUUGCUAUUUAUGCAAAUUUCUGCAGCCAGCUUGAAUUUCUCCUCAAAAAAAUUGUUUUUUCUUUUCUACUGCAUCAUCAGGCUGCAAAUUUUCUGAACUUUUGUGCUCUGUUUCCCUUUUAAGAUGGAAUGCUUUUUAACAGCACCCAAGUCACCUUUUUGAAUGCUUUGCUGCUUAGAAAUUUCUUCCACCAGAUAACCUAAAUCAUCUCUCUCAAGUUCAAAAUUUCCACAAAUCUCUAGGACAGGGGCAAAAUGCCACCAGUCUCUUUGCUAAAACAUAACAAGAGUCACCUUUGCUCCAGUUCCCAACAAGUUCCUCAUCUCCAUCUGAGACCACCUCAGCUUGGACCUUAUUGUUCAUAUCACUAUCAGCAUUUUUGUCAAAGCUUCUAGGAGGCUCCAAACUUUUCCACAUUUUCCUGUCUUCUUCUGAGUUCUCCAAACUGUUCUAACCUCUGCUUGUUACCCAGUUCCAAAGUUGCUUCCACAUUUUCAGGUAUCUUUUCAGCAACACCCCACUCUACUGGUACCAAUUUACUGUAUUAGUUCGUUUUCAUGCUGCUGAUAAAGACAUACCCAAAACUGGUAACAAACAGAGGUUUAAUUGGACUUACAGUUCCACAUGGCUGGGGAGGCCUCAGAAUCAUGGUGGGAGGUGAAAGGCACUUCUUACAGUGUGGUGGCAAGAGAAAAAAAAGAAGCAAAAGCAGAAACCCCUGAUAAACCCAUCAGAUCUCAUGAGACUUAUUUACUAUCAUGAGAACAGCACAGGAAAGGCCACUCCCAUGACUCAGUUACCUCUCACUGGGUCCCUCUCACAACAUGUGGGAAUUCUGGGAGAUACAAUUCAAGUUGAGAUUUAGGUGGGUUACACAGCCAAACCAUAUCACAAUUUCACCACACUGGCCAAGGUGGUCUCGAACUCCUGACUUUAAGUGAUCCACCUGCCUCACCCUCCCAAGGUGUUGGGAUUACAGGCCUGAGCCACCAUGCCUGGCCUGAGGUAUGUUCAUUCUAUACCCAGUUUGUUGAGGAUUUUUUUCAUGAAGGACAUUGAAUUUAACUGAAUGUUUUUUCAACAUCCAUUGAAAUAAUCACAUGUUUUUUGUCCUUCAUUCUGUUGAUGUGAUGUAUCAUGUUUGUUGAUUUGCCUAUGUUGAACCAUCCUUGCAUCCCUGGGAUGAAUCCACUUGAUUCUAGUGAAAGAUCUUUUUAAUGUUUUUGAAUUCUGUUUGCUAGUAUUUUGUGGAGGAUUUUUACAUCUAUGUUCAUCAGUGAUAUUGGCCCACAGUUGAUUUUUUCUUUUAUUUUUUGUUUUUGGUAGUGUGUUUGUCUGGUUUUGGUAUCAGGAUAAUGCUGGCCUGGUAAAAUGAGUUUCUCUCCUCUUCACUUAUUUGAAAUAAUUUGAGUAGAAUUGGUAUUAGGUCUUCCUUAAGUGUUUGCUAGAAUUCAGAAGUGAACCUGGCAGGUCCCAAGUUUUGAAGGGAGACUUUUUAUUGUAGCUUGAUCUCAUGACUUGUUAUUGGUUUGUUUAGGUUUUCUGUUUCUUCAUGGUUCAAUCAUGGUAGAGUAUGUGUUCAGGAGUUUAUCCAUUUCUUCUAGAUAUUUCAGUUUGUUUGUGUAUAGUUGUUCAUGAUAGUCUAAUGAUUCUAUUUCUGUGGUAUUAGUUGUAAUGUUUCCUUUUUUGUCUCUGAUUUUAUUUGUUUGGGUCUUCUUUAUUUUUAUCUUAGUCUAGCUAAAGGUUUACCAAUUUUGUCUUUUCAAGAAACCAACUUUUUGUUUUGUUGAUCUUUUUUAUUUUUUUAGUCUCAUUUCAUUUAUUUCUGCUCUGAUCUUUAUUAUUUCUUUCCUUUUACUAAUUUUGGGUUUGGUUUGUUCUCUUCUAGUUGCUUGAUGUGCAUAGUUAGAUUGUUUAUUUGGAGUCUCUAUUUUUUAAAAAUGUGGAUAUUUACUGCUAUAAAAUUCCAUGUUAGUACUACUUUUUCUGUAUCCUAUAGAUUCUUGUAUGUUUUGUUUCCAUUUUUAUUUUUUUCAAGAAAUUUCUAAAUUUCCUUCUUAAUUUCUUCACUGACCAACCGGUUGUCUGGAAACAUGUUGUUUAAUUUCCAUGUAUUUGUACAGUUUUUAACAUUCCUCAUUUUAUUGACUUAUAGUUUUACUCUAUUGUGGUCAGAAAAGAUACUUGAUAUAAUUUCCACUUUUUUGUAUUUGUUGAGACUUGUUUCAUGGUCCAACAUAUAGUCUGUCCUGGAGAAUGUUCCAUGUGCUGAUGAAGAAUGCGUAUUCUGUAGCAGUUGGGUGAAAUAUUCUGUAAAUGUCUGUUAGGUCCAUUUGGUGUACAGUUUCACUCUGAUGUUUCUUUGUUGAUUUUCUGCCUGAAUGAUCUUUCCAUUGUCAAAAGUAGGAUGCUGAAAUCCCCUCUUACUGCUGCAUUGCAGUCUAUCUCUCCCUUCAGAUCUAUUAAUAUUUGCUUUGUAUAUUUGGGUACUCUGGUGUUGGGUGUGUAUAUAUUUACUAUUGUUAUAUCCUCUAGCUGAAUUGACCUCUUAAUCAUUAUAUAAUAACCCUAUUUAUCUCUUUUUACAGUUUUUAAUUUAAAGUCUAUUUUAGCUCAUAUAGUUACUCCUGCUCUUUUUUGGUUUCCAUUGCAUGGGAUAUCAUCUUUCUAUCCCUUCACUUUCAGUCUAUGUGUAUCUUUACAGGUGAAUUGAGUUUCUUGUAGACAGCAUAUUGUUGGGUCUUGUUUUUUAAUCCAUGCAGCUACUCUUUGUUUUUUUAAUUGGAGAAUUCAGUCCAUUUACAUUCAAUGUUACUAUUGAUAGAUAAGGCCUUACUGCCAUACUGUUACUUGUUUACUAGCUGUAGGUAACUCCUCUCUUCCUUUCUUUGUCUUUCUUUGUGGUUAAGUGAUUUUUCUCUGGUAGUAUGUUUUGUUACUUUUUAUUUUUAGUCUAUCUGUUAUAGGUUUUAGCUUUGUAGUUACCGUUAAGCUUACAAAACAAAUCCUACAGUUAUAACAGGUAUUUAAAACUGAUGCCAACUUAAUUUUGAUCAUAAAAAAGCAAAGAAACAACCCAAACAGGUUAACUCCCUUCUUCCUCCACAUUUACAGUUUUUGAUGUCACCAAUUACCCUUUUUUAUUGCCUGUCUCUUAACAAAUUAUUUUCAAAAUUAUUUUAAUAGUUUUGACUUUCAGUCUUUUGGCCAAAGAUAUAAGUGGUUUAUCACAAUUACAAUAUUACUAUAAUAAUUACGUUAGAGUCCUUUUCUUUCAGUUUGAAGAAUUUCCUUUAGCAUUUUUUGUGGGACAGUUCUGGUUGCUAUAAAUAUAAAGUCCGUCUGGGAUAGUCUUUAUCUCUCCAUUUCUGAAGAACUUUUUUUGAUACAGUAUUCUUGGUUGGCCAUUUUUUUCCUACAACACUCUGAAUAUUAUCAUCUCCCUCCUGGCCUGAAAAGUUUCUGCUGAGAAGUCUGAUGCCAGGAGUAUUGGAUCUCCCUUAUAUGUUAUUUGCCUCUUUUCUCUUGCUGCUUUUAGAAUCCUCUCUUUGUCUUUCAUUUUUGCAAGUUCGAUGUAAUAUGUCUUGGGAUAUUCUUAUUUGGGUUGAAUCUGAUUGGUGAUCUUUGAUCUUCCUGGCUUUGGUAUUUGUAUCUUUCUCCAGGGUUGGAAAGCUUUCUAUUAUUUCUCUGAAGAAGCUUUCUACCCCUUUGUCUUUCUCAGUUCCCUCUUUAACUCCAAUAAUGAAUAUUUUCUUUUUUGAUGUUGUCUCAUACAUAUUGUAAGCUUUUUUCAUUAUUUUUAUUCCUUUUUUUUUCCUCUGUGUAUAUCCAAAUAAUCUGUCACUGAUUACUUCUGCCAUUGAUGCUCUAUAUUGCAUUUUUCAUUUCAUUCAUUGUAUUUUUCAGCUCCAGGAUUUUUUGAUUUUUAAAAUUUUUUCAAUGUCUCUAUUAAAUUUUUCUGAUACAUUUCUGAAUUGAUUUUCUGUUUUCUGGAAUUUCAUUGAGUCUCCUUAAAGCAGCUAUUUUGAAUUAUUUGUAUGAGAGAUCACACAUCUCUAUCACUGUAGGGUUGGUCGCUGGCACCUUGUUUUACCUCAUUUGUGAGGUCAUAUUUCCCUGAAUGUUUUUGAUGCCUGUAGAAGUACAACAAUGUCUACAUAUUUAGGAAUUAGGUAUUUAUUUUAGUCUUUGCAUUCUGGCUUUGUUUGUGCCUGUCCUUCAGAGGGCCUUUCGGAUUCUAAGCUGACUGACUGUUGUGUUCCCUGAGCCUGUGACCACUGCAGCCAGAUAUCUCAGCACUAGAGGACACUCCAAGCCCAGGCUUGCCGUGAGUUUCAUGAGGACUCUGAGGUUGACAUGGCUUUCCAGCCCAGAUGGACCUAGAGAAGACCCCAGGCAGAUACUGGACUGAGGGACCUGAGUCCAGAAAACUGUCCUUGUGGCCCAGACAAGUGUGUCUCCCAGCAGAUCUCUGCAUUUCUCAACUGCAGCAAGAGGAGAUGGAGUUGAGACUGGACCACUUCAGGAUCAGCUGUGAGAAGGAGCUGGUGGGCCUAUCUCAUUGUCUCAGAUGAACAUGCAUCACCCAGCUGGUCCCUGUAUGAGUGGGGUAGUUCCUAGACUGAAGCAGUAGGGGCUAGAGCUGAGACUGGGCCCCAUGGAAUGUGCUAUGAGAGACUGGAGAGCCCAGUCUCAGCUCAGAGGGGUUUAUAUCACCCAGCAAGUUUCUGCACAAAUAAGCUAGUUUCUUGUCUACAGCAGGAGGGGCUGGAGCUGAGUCUGGGUGUCCUUGGGAUCUGUUGUGGGAUGGAAGCUAAAGAGUCUGUCUUGUUGGGCCAGACAAGUACACAUCUCCCAGCAGGUCUCAGCACAAAUAGGAUAGUUCCCUGGUUGCUGCAGAGGGCAGGGUGCAGCUGAGACUGAGUCCACUUGGGAUCUGCUAUGAGACAGAGGUUGGCAAGUGUGUUGGGGACAUUCAGACUUCUGGGUUGUGAGAUAUGGGCAAGUCUCCUUCUGGGUCCUUGUAUGAGCACCUCUGAACUGAGACAUCAGCUGAGAAAGGCUGGAGCAGAGCCACAGGGCCACUUCCAGGUUCACUGCUGAGACUGAUGUCAGUGGACAGACGAGUCUUUCUGCCAAGGCUCUAGUAUGCGCAAUUCCUUCUAGACUCCUUGGCAGAUAGUUUCGGUUGCAAGCUCAAGGCCAAACAGGGCUGUAGCCAACGGCAGACCCCAAGGGGUCCCAGUCUCAGCUCUGGCCCCUCCUGCUGUAGCUGGGGAAUGAUCCUAUCCAUGCAGAAACUUUCUUGGCCAUUUCCAGGCAUGAACCUGGAAGCAAGCUCACCAGAUCAACUGACCUGGGUGUUGGUCUGUACUUUCAAAACAACCCUCCUAGGUCUUGCGCCCUCUCAGGGUUUCACAAACUCCUAUCUGAAUCCUGAGGCUCCCACUGACAGACUUUUGACUGUAGAUGGGUACAAAAAUUCUUGUACCCAUAUUGUAGUUGGGGGAUAUGAGCAGGUUGCCUUCUAUUUUGCCAUCUUGGUGAUGACACUCAGUAAAUGCUUUCUUCAUAUUGACUUUCUGGUCCUGCUAAUCUGUGAAAUGGAGAGAGCCACUGUAUCUCUUAGCUGUGUUAAUCCAAAUAUCUGAGUGAUCGUCCAAGACAAGGAAAGAAUCUGACUACAAGGGCCCUGGAGGAAGACCCCUGGCCCCAGAAUCAUUUCUCUGCCUCCACCUCUCGAUGGCCCUUCUAAGAGAAAAGAUACAUUUAUGGAAGUACAGACUGAUUCAGAAAGUGGGGGACAUAGUGGAAGGGAGCUAACAUCUGCUGAGUCCCCCGUGUGUCAGGUAUGAAAUGCAAACUCUCAUUUUACCCUCACAGCAACUCAAUGAAGGUGAGAAUGUCUAGCUCCCUUUCCUAAGUACAUGUACACAAACGUGGAGGCAAUGCACAGUGUUGAGGUGUGCACUGCUUCCACGAAGUUGAGGAAGACCAUUCUUGUUAAUAAUCAAGUACUUGCCCCAUGUGACAAAAUACAUGCUUUCCUAAAGAAGUACAUGAAGUUAAGUCACAGAUGAAAUCCUACUAAUCUGCAGUUUGCAUUUAAGCACUCAGUAAUUCCAGGCAUGGUGCUAAGCACUUUACCUAAUCUCACUCAAUCUUCACAACAAACUCUGCAAAACACAUAUAUUAUUAUCCCCAUUUUUCAGGUUAAGAUAUGGAGAUUUGCCGAGGCUGAGUAAUACAGUCAGGGUUGCACAACUACUAAGUGGCAGAGUCAGGAUUUGAACUCAUCUCUGCCUGACUUCCAAGGAUCUCUGGGUCCUCAGACAUAAGGAAAAUCACAAUGGAGAAAAUACUUGUUAUAUAUUGUAAGGAAAAUAUUAUUUCCUAAUAAAAAUAAAAGGAGUCAAAAUUACUGAAGUUGAACAUCCCAUCAAAGUUUCUCUGUCACCCUACAAGGUAGAGAGCAGUGGGAAAAAAAGGGACAGUCAGCUUUAAGUUUUGUUCCUUGAUUUGCUGCCAUGCUCCUUCAGGAUAAGAACUCCUGUGGAAUAGAUCAGACUUGGAUAUGGAAUUUAAAUAGAUAGUUCAAGUUUUUUUUCCCUCUAAUUUCAGGCUUAGAAUCUAGCAAAGUUAGAAGGGAAAUCCUUCCACUGGGUAUGUAAAAUGUUAAACAAGCCCCUGAGAGUAGAUGACUCUUUGCUUCUCUGACCUAUACUAGAAUAAUAUAUAAAAUGGAAACUGCAAUAAAUGAAUAAAACCAAAUGACACAGACACACAUCUGCACACCCACUGUCUGUGUCCGAAUGCUGAUACACUGCAGGUACAGUACAGUGACAGGGUGUUCCUGGGAAGCCGAUCAAUGAUUCCCUUCCACAGUUCAGGCUUUAUUACAGGAGGUAUUCAUUAGCUAAUUACAAUUAGUCGAGUACCUUGGUGUGCCUUCUUCAAGAACUCCUUUAAAUGCUCCUCUUUUAUUCUAUUUUCAAGUUCCAAAAGCAGAUGCUUCUUUUAUGGAAAAGCCUAAUUGCUGUGGAAUCUAAUGCAUGUCCUACUUCCAUAUCCAAAUCUCCUCCUUCCUGUUUAAUGGACAGCAUUCUCAUGACUCACCUUUGAUUUAUGGGCUGGAAGGCACCACACCUUUUUUCGGUCCUGCCUGCACAUAUUGUUAAGUGUGAUCAACUCUGGAAAAAAGCAUUCAUGAGUUAUGUCAAUAAUAUGAGACACUAAAAGAGACUUGUCCUACAAACAAAACAGUAAAUGACAAAUCCAAGUUGUUUUAGUCCCAUGUGCUUCUCUACCGCACCCUAGAGCCUAUAAUGAUUCCGUUUUCUUCAUAUUUGUGGCACAAGGAAUGCCUGAAAACUCAUCCUUAGGUAACAUGCGCCUCAUUAGUAUUUGUUCAUUCUAACAUUUUAAAUUCUUUUGAAUUGGCAAAAAGGAACAAAGAGAAGUGAAAUUUAGAUACCUAAUAGAUAGUGGAAAAUAACAAAACAGCAGCCUAUAAAUCAAUGGAAUGUGGCGACUGUGUGUUCUGUGGUGGUGGUUCUUGUUCUGGAUGGUAUAUAUCUCUGAAUAAUUUCCCAGUAUUCACCCAAUUUGAUGCUACUAUGAAAAAAUUAUGUCUCUAAAAUCCACAUUCCAAAUAACUCUUGUUGCAGAUAAUUCCCUUCUUCCCUUUUCCCAUCCUAACAGAAUACAAUUUUGUUCAGAGGACGACGGAAAAUAUAUCCCAUUAAAUACUUGCCUAACACACUGAGUGGCCUGUGACACAGGUCUGGUUAGUGAUGCUGACAAAAGGCUUCUAGGUAUUUAUGUGAAAGCUCUUGUGUUUCUACUCAAGCACUGCUCCUUCCGCCUUGAGCGCUGAUGUGAAGCCUAGAGCUGCGGCAGCCAUCUUGCAACCGUGAGAUGAGGAGCGUGAGAAUUACAGCCUACAGCUAAGGGUGGCAGAGAAGAAUGGCAGGAGCCUGGGUCCAGGAUGGCACCACUGCCUCCUUUACUAGCUUCAGACUUCUUAUUGCUUGAAAUAAAUGCCCAUCACAAUUGUUUAAGUCACUGCUGCUAUGGUUCUUUGAUGCUUGCAGGUAAAGGCUACAAUAACUAAUACAGGCUUACAGACACCUUAGCUUCUGUUUCUAAAUUCCCAAAUUAAAGCUAUACAUUUCUUUUAAAUUCAGAAAGAAGCUAAGUAGCCGUGUUGCCCUUAUUUGGGGUCUGGCAUUGACACUCCACAACAGCCUCUUGCAUUCAUUACAAUCAACUAGAGACAGACAAAUACUGGAGUUAAAUGGGGGAAAAAAAGAAAUUAUAAGCGUAUAGGUAAUUAUGAAUAGUUACUGGAUCUCACAGUGAGGGACAACUAUGUAUAAAAUCAAUGGAAUUAUAACCUUUAGAUGGGCAAAAACCAAGUCUGAUGAGACCAAGUAUUGCCAAGGUUGUGGGGAAAUAAGAUCUCUCACAUACUGCUUGUGAAGUGGGUGGACUGGGCAACUACUUCAGAGGACAGUGUUUCCACAUCUAGUAAACAUACCUUCUGCUCCAGAAAUCCUUGCACAUGUGCACAAGGGCUAUGCACAAGAAUGUUUACUGUAGCACCAUCUUGUAGCAGUGAAGCCCUAGACAUAGUCUAGACGUCCAUCAAUAGGGUGAUGGAUAAAAACAUUGUGAUACAGUCUUAACAUAUAAAAACUAAAAAGCAAAACUCAGAUCUCCACAUCAACAGGGACGGAUUUAGUAGCAUGCUGAAGCUAGCUCAUGAGAACUAAAUGCUAACAUUUCAGUUUUGUGAGCUGGCUGAUGUUACUUCUAUAGCUUGGUAUAAGCUAUGUUAAGAGUAUUUACAACAUGGAAAUUAGCAAAAGCUACAUAUCAUUCCCUCCCCACAAAAGCUGGUUGUUAAACAUUUACUAGCACGUCACUGGACAGACUUCAAAAAAACAGUUAAAGACAUGUUUCAGGGGAGAGGAAAGUUUCAGUGAUGCAAGAUGAAUUAGUUGAAGAGAUCUACAUAGCAUCGUAUUAAUACACAGUCAACAGUGCUGUAUUAUACACUUUAAAAUUUAUUAAAGAUGAGAGUUUGUGUUAAAUGUUUUCACCAUACAUGCACAUAUCCCAAAAUAAAGGGACACAAGGAAACUUUUGGAGCUUAUAGUUAUGUCUGUUAACUUGACUGUGGUGAUGGCUCCAUGGAUGUAGGCAUAUGUCCAAACUCAUCCAACUGUAUGCAUUAAAUAUGUGCAGUUUAUUGUGUGCCAGUUAUAUACCUCAAUAAAGCUCUUUUUAGAAAAAAGGCAAGUUGCAGGAUGAAAACAGUAUGAUAGCACAUACCUAAAGUUUAAAGAACAUGUUGAGACAUGUAAUAUUUGUAAUACUAAUAAGAUAUAGUCUAGAAGGACAGAUACCAACUUGUGAUAAUCAUUAUCUCUGGAGAGGGGCCACGUAAUAGGUGUGGUAAAGGGGAAAAGGGGGCUUAGGUUUUUUAAUCUGUUAUGUUCUAUUUACUUAAAAAUAUUUGAAGCCAAAACAAUGCACUAAUGUUGUUCAUUUCUGGGUGGUAAAUAUAAAAUGCUUACUCUCCUCUUUGUCUAUUAUUUAAAUUUCAAAAUAAAAGAGGCAAAAUGAAAUGAGAGUCAAAGAAAAUUUGCUCAUCACUUUUCAUUGCCUGUUGAUGAGAGUCUGCAGGAAUCCCACUGCUGGUAGAGACGUAAAAUGAUGCAGCCACUGUAAAAGCUAGUUUUGUGGUUCCUCAAAAAAUCAACAUAGAAUUACCAUAUGACCCACCCAUUCCAUUCUUAGUCAUAUACCCAAGAGAUUGAAGAGCAUAUGUUCAAACAAAGUGUUUGUUUGAACACACACCUGUGUUGUACACAGUUGUUCAUGGUAUUAUUUGUAGUGUUGUUUAUAAUAGUAAAAAGGUGGGAACAACCCAAAUGUCCCUCAACUGCUGGGGAAUGGAUAAAGAAAAUGUGGUUCACAACUACUAGGUUGGGAAGAAUGAAAAUAUAACAAGUGUUGAGGAUGUGGAAAUAUUGGAACGCUGCUACAUUACUGUUGGAAAUGAACAAUAGUACAGCCACUCUGGAAAAUACUCUGACGGUUCCUCAAAAAGUUAGACAUAAAGCAACCAUAUGACCCAGAAAUUUCACCCCUUAGUGUAACUUAAGAGAAAUAUGCAUAGUCAAAAAAACUCUGUACACAUGUUCCUCAACUUAUGAUGAGGUUACAACCUGAUGAUAAACCCAUUGUAAGCUGAAAAUCUCAUAAGUUGAAAAUGCAUAAUACACCUAACCUACCAAACAUCAUAGCUUAACCUAACAUAACUUAAACAUGCUCAGAACACUUAUAUUAGCCUACUGUUAGGCAAAAUCAUCUAACACAAGCUUGUCCAACCCAUGGCCUGAGGGCUGCAUGCAGCCCAGGAACAGCUUUGAAUGCAGCUCAACACAAAGUUGUAAAUUUUGUUAAAACAUUAUGAGACUUUUUUGUGAUUUUUUUUUUAGCUCAUCAGCCAUCAUUAGUGUUAGUGUAUUUUAUAUGUGGCCCAAGACAAUUCUUCUUCUUCCAAUGUGGCCCAGGGAAGCCAGAAGAUUAGACACCCCUGGUCUAAGACAAAGCCUAUUUUAUAGUAAAGUAUUGAAUAUCUCAUGUAAUUUAUUGACUAUUGUUCUGAAAGUGAAAAGCAGAAUGGUCAUAUGGGUACUCGAAGUAUGGUUUCUACUGAAUGCAUAUCAUUUUUACACCACUAUAAAGUUGAAAAAUCAUAAGUUAAGCCAUCAUAAGUCAGGGACUGUCUGUACAUGAAUAUUAAUAGCAGCAUUAUUCUUUACAGCCAAAAUGUGGAAGCAAUCUGAAUGUGCGUGAAUUGAAUGAAUCAAUGAAAUGUGGUGUAACAUUCGAAUGCAUUAUACAACCAUCGUUAGGGCUGAAUAAUGUACAACAGAAUAUUAUUCAGCCAUUAAAGGAAUGAAGGACUGAUUCAUGCUACAACAUGGGUGGACUUUGAAAACCUUAUUCCAAGUGAAAGAAGCCAGUAACAAAAGAUCACAUGUUGUAUUCAUUAGUUUAUAUGAAAUAUCCAGAAUAGGCAAAUCGAGACAGCCAAAAAGCAGAUUAAUGGUUGUCAGGGGCUGGGAGGACAGGGGAUGGGGAGUGACUACUUAACUGGUACAGAAUUUCCUGUUCUGGAAUUAGGUAGUGAUGGUGGUUACACAAUAUUGUGAAUGUACCAAAAGUCAUGAAUUGUAUGCUUUUAAAUGGCUAAAAUGAUGAAUUUUAUGUUAUAUAAAUUUUACCUCAAUAAAAAAAGUUAUUUAACUAUGACAUAUUAAAUGAUACUGAUUCUAGAGAGACUGCAUUGUAAGAAAAGAUGUGUCUCAGGGUUGAUAAAAUGUUAUAUAUUUGAUGACACAGAAAUCUGGAGCUUCUGGCC
rnacentral:lncRNA from 1 species